rnacentral:misc_RNA from 1 species
GAACGCACAUUGCGCCCCUUGGUUAUUCCGAAGGGCAUGCCUGUUCGAGCGUCAUUAUCACCCCUCAAGCCCUAGCUUGGUGUUGGACUUUAGUCAUAGCUUUGCCUAUCGACUGGUCUCAAAGAUAGUGACGGCGCCCCAGAGGGAACCGGGUACGAGGAGCUUUUUAUUAAGCAUGUAUCUGGGACGACUCUGAUGGACGACGGUCUUGUUAUACUUUUACCUAAGUGUUGACCUCGGAUCAGGUAGGAAUACCCGCUGAACUUA